CAGCCGCCGCGGGAAUACGUAGGUGGCAAGCGUUAUCCGGAAUUAUUGGGCGUAAAGCGCGCGUAGGCGGUUUCUUAAGUCUGAUGUGAAAGCCCACGGCUCAACCGUGGAGGGUCAUUGGAAACUGGGAAACUUGAGUGCAGAAGAGGAAAGUGGAAUUCCAUGUGUAGCGGUGAAAUGCGCAGAGAUAUGGAGGAACACCAGUGGCGAAGGCGACUUUCUGGUCUGUAACUGACGCUGAUGUGCGAAAGCGUGGGGAUCAAACAGGAUUAGAGACCCGCGUAGUCCCUGUCUCUUAUAC
rnacentral:rRNA from 1 species